rnacentral:rRNA from 3 species
UACAGAGGGAGCAAGCGUUAUCCGGAAUGAUUGGGCGUAAAGCGUCUGUAGGUGGUUUAGAAAGUCUACUGUCAAAUACCAAGGCUCAACCUUGGGCAGGCAGUAGAGUACUUUUAGACUAGAGUGUGGUAGAGGUAGAGGGAAUCCCUAGCGUAACAGUGAAAUGUGUAGAUUUUAGGGAGAACACCAGCGGCGAAGGCGCUCUACUGGGCCAAGACUGACACUGAGAGACGAAAGCUAGGGGAGCGAAUAGG